UGUGUGCUGACCACUGCCUGUGCCCAUGACGAUAAGUACUGGAAGUCCCACUGAAGCCGGUCAACACAUGUGGCCUGCCUACACUUCUAGUUUACAAAUGGCACUGAUUCAAUACCAGUAAUGUGAUGACUCCUUGCACACCACUCACAAUAAAUGCAUAGAGAAGAAGAAAGUGCAGGAUGUCUUCUGGCGUAAAGUGCAAGGAGAGGAGAGGCAGGAGAGUCUAACAUGGCGGAGGAAGCACUUCCUAACACGGCAGCAGGGGUUCUCUCUUGGAGCCUGAUGACUCGGCUUUGUCUCUGGACAUCUCCCAUUUCCUGCAGAGCCUGGCUGAUCGGCAAUUACAGGAUGGAGGAUGCAGGAUGGAAUGCGUCAAAUGUUCACAAGGGACGAAAUCACUGAAAUGAUCAUGCACAUCGUAAAGAUUGUGACCACCGUAUCACACAAAAUCAUCGUUCCAAAGCUUACCCUCGCAAUAUGUGCAUCACAAUCAGGGAGUUUGUUGAUUGUCAGAGUUCAUGGAUCAGUGAUGAUAUCAGCUCUGAUCCAGCCUGUAACGUUCCUAGAAUUCCCAGCCUUAUGAAAUUGUCAAGUAUGGCUUUCAAUGGGUCUAUGGAGACCCAAGCUGAAACUUCCAUUCCUACACAAACUCUGAGAAAUGCAUCCUUAUGUACCAAAAUCUUUGUGGACAAGCUUUUACUCCAGCUGGAGUCGUUUACAAAGUCAGAGGUGUCUGAAGAUGACCAGGCGACAUUUAGACGACGCACCCCUGAUUUAUCUUGCACAGCUGAGUUGCUUGUAGACCACAUAAUGGCUCACAUUCAAGAGGUCUCAGCUUCACCUUUUGGAGACAGCAUACCUGCCGUUCCUCUGGAUUUUCAGGUACCGUCUUUCCUUCAAAGCUCCUCUGCUAAGAGCUUCGAGAAAAUCCGGAGUGGGGACACUCGAAACAAGGCAGCUCAGGAAGUGAGUCAAACCUUAGUGAAGUGUUCAGAGAGCUUCCUUGCUAUUUCUCUCCAUUCACUAAGUGCUCACACCAGCCAGACAGAUUCCAGUGUGAAACCAACUCCAUCUGAAUGCUCAACAAAGGCAUUCGCAAUCGUCGAUUCUGUCAUUGAUGGAAUUUGCACGUUUGCAUUCUAGUACAUCAUCCAGUGGUUUGAAGGAGACACAGUCUGAA